rnacentral:tRNA from 1 species
GUGAUUGGCUCAGUGGCAGAGCGUCUGUCUAGUAAACAGAAGGUCGCUGGUUCGAUUCCAGCAUGAGGCA